CAGUCGCCGCGGUAAUACGAAGGUCCCGAGCGUUGUUCGGAAUCACUGGGCGUAAAGGGAGCGUAGGCGGCGUGGUAAGUCAGAUGUGAAAUCCCGGGGCUCAACCCCGGAACUGCAUCCGAUACUGCCAUGCUAGAGGAGUGGAGAGGUAGCUGGAAUUCUUGGUGUAGCAGUGAAAUGCGUGGAGAUCAAGAGGAACACUCGUGGCGAAAGCGAGCUACUGGACAAUAACUGACGCUGAGGCUCGAAGGCCAGGGUAGCGAAAGGGAUUAGAUACCCCCGUAGUCCCUGUCUCUUAUAC
rnacentral:rRNA from 1 species